GUGAAAAAAAAAUGAUGGUUAUGAAAUGUGUUAAAAAACUUACGCUGAUGAUGAUGGGAUUGCUUAUCUUUAUUCUUCUUCAUGUGCACGCUAAUGACCUUGCCCCUACCUCAUUCUAUCUGUCUUCACCUCCCAUCCCGCUUCCUUAUUCCUCUACAAUUGAUGAAGCAAAAAGACCAAAUAAGAAAGCAACGCCGCACUUCUCCCUUACAAUGGUAGUUAAAGAUUGUGAAUAUAAGAAAGAAAAAAAAAAAAAAAUCAUCGCCAAUGUCCGACUUUAAUUAUGGACUUUAUAUUAGUCAAGGUUUUGAUGAUUGUUUGGUUCAUGGUGAAUAUAAAGAACACUUACGUAUGUUUGAAGAUUGUCUCAGAACCGAAUGCUCUGGAUUGGUAUAUGCUUCAAAAGCCCAUGUGAUUGCUAGCUAGCUACCAAGGAUUUGCCUUAGCUACGUUCAGAGAAGUGAUCUAUAGUUUGAUCUAGAAGGCCAGAAUCAUCUCCCAUAACAUAGAAAACCAAAGAGCUAUUUUCCACAUACAUUAAUUUUGUGCAUUUUUAUUCUCAAUUAAGGG